rnacentral:rRNA from 1 species
UACGUAGGGACCAAGCGUUGUUCGGAUUUACUGGGCGUAAAGGGCGCGUAGGCGGCGUGGCAAGUCACUUGUGAAAUCUCUGGGCUUAACCCAGAACGGCCAAGUGAAACUGUUGUGCUAGAGUGCAGAAGGGGCAAUCGGAAUUCUCGGUGUAGCGGUGAAAUGCGUAGAUAUCGAGAGGAACACCAGAGGUGAAGACGGGUUGCUGGGCUGACACUGACGCUGAUGCGCGAAAGCCAGGGGAGCAAACGGG